AGUGAAUAGAUACCCGGGUAGUCCUGGCCGUAAACGAUGGAUACUAGGUGUUAGAGGUAUCGACCCCUCUAGUGCCGAAAGCUAAACGCAUUAAAGUAUCCCGCCUGGGGAGUACGACCGCAAGGUUGAAACUCAAAGGAAAUUGACGGGGGCCCGGCACAAGCGGUGGAGCAUGUGGUUUAAUACGUCACUAACCGUAGAACCUCACCCAGGUUUGUACAUCCACUGUAAGUCCAUGAAAGUGGUACCCCUGUAUGGAAACAUACAGCAGUGAGACAGGUGUUGCAUGGCUGUCGUCAGCUCGUGUCGUGAGAUGUUGGGUUAAAGUCCCGCAACGAGCGCAACCCUCAUCCGAUGUUGCCAGCGUAAAGUCGGGGACUCUUCGG
rnacentral:rRNA from 1 species